AAAUUGAAGAGUUUGAUCAUGGCUCAGAUUGAACGCUGGCGGCAGGCCUAACACAUGCAAGUCGAGCGGUAGCACAGAGAGCUUGCUCUCGGGUGACGAGCGGCGGACGGGUGAGUAAUGUCUGGGAAACUGCCUGAUGGAGGGGGAUAACUACUGGAAACGGUAGCUAAUACCGCAUAACGUCGCAAGACCAAAGUGGGGGACCUUCGGGCCUCAUGCCAUCA
rnacentral:rRNA from 1 species